rnacentral:lncRNA from 1 species
AGUUUUAUAUAAAGGGCUUGUGAAGCUUAUCUCAAUAGAUUAUGCCAUGCCAUAUGAUAUGUUUCCUUCAAUUGUUGCCACUAUACUAAGAGAUGUUAGAAAAAAUAGAGAAUAUCUUGAAAUAAAAAUAUAUAAUGGUAUAGAAGAAAAGAAGAUAGGAAGCAUUGAGUAUCCUUUUCAAAUCUACAAUAUAACUGCUCUUGAGGAUGUGGAUAAUCAAGUAGGAUUUCGGCCA